CAAUGUGAGGGCGAUCUGGCUGCGACAUCUGUCACCCCAUUAAUCACUAGGGUUGAUUUGGCUGAUCUGGCUGGCUAGGCAGGUGUCCCCUUCCUCCCUCACCACUCCAUGUGCGUCCUUCCCAAAGCUGCACGCUCAGUAGAAGAGGACGACCAUCCUAGAUAGAAGGAGUGUACUGUUCUUCAGUCAAGGGUAUACGAUAGCUGCGCUCCCCUGCUAGAACCUCCAAACAAGCUCAAGGUUAACACUCUAUUCCUGAAUAGAACUGUGGUAUAUUCACGAUACCUAGGUUCUGCACAUGACAAGAGCGAGUGGU